rnacentral:lncRNA from 1 species
UUUCAAAGUUAAUAUUGUAUAUUUUGAUAUUUUGUUCAAAAAUGUUAAGAGGCCUUUUACCUUUCUUUCACUAAGAUAUCUUGUACAAAAUAUUAGACAAAUUAAACAAUAACUAAAAUAUAUAAAGUAAUCACCAAAGUUUUAAAUUGGAUAAGAUGAAGAAGAAUAGUAGUUUAUAUAAUGGAGAAUUUCAAUUUGUAAUAAUAUUUCAAAAAAUUAUUUUAGUCUAGUUGUUAGUGUGCCCC